rnacentral:tRNA from 1 species
GGGGAGAUUCCCGAGUGGUCAAAGGGAUCAGACUGUAAAUCUGACGGCGACGCCUUCGAAGGUUCGACUCCUUCUCUCCCCACCA